UAGGGUUUAAGGUUUAGGGUUUAGGGUUUAGGAUUUAGGGUUUAGAGUUUAAGGUUUAGGGUUUAGUGUUGAUGUUUUAGGGUUUAGGGUUAAUUUUUUAGGGUUUAGGGUUUAGGGUUUAGGGUUUAGAGUUUACUUUUUAGGGUUUAGUGUUGAUGAUUUAGGGUUUAGAGUUGAUGUUUUAAGGUUUAGGGUUGAUGUUUCGGAGUUUAGGGUUUAGAGUUGAUGUUUCAGGGUUUAGAGUUCGUAUUUCAAAAACAAAUAGGGUUUAGGAUUGAUGGUAUAAGGUUUAGGGUUCGUAUUUCAAAAAAAAAUGGUUUAGGAUUGAUGGUUUAGGGUUUAGAGUAGAGUUUUAUAGUUUAGGGUUUGAAUUUUGAAAUAGAAUAAUUUGAAAAAUAUUAAAAAAAUUAUUUUUUUUUAUUUUUUUAGAUUUUUAUCUAUUUAAAUAUUUAUUUAUUAUAUACAUAAAGAACAUAGAAAUAAGAGUCUUUUGCCAUUUAACGAAGAAUAUAUUUUUGAAAAUGUCACUUUAGUGGUGGUAAAAAUGAAAAGCGGUAGCAUGAAAGUGGUAAACAUGUAAUUUUUUUUUUUUUUUUUUAACAUGUAAUUUCUAUUUAAACAUGUAAUUUCUCUUUAAAAGAAAGAAGAAUACGAAUGACUGGUUUACCUAAAGAAUCUUUUUUUGUCAACUUGUUUGUUAGUAUUUUGUCAACGACUAUGUACCUCAUCAAUGGACACAUGUUAAUACACAUACAAGUAAAGUUGAAUCAAUUCAUUUUCUAGGUAUAUUAAUCUUCAAACAAUCAGUGCUAUUUUAAAGUAAACAACUCACGACACUGAAGUUCUUACCUGCUAAUUUCUUUCAAGAUACAAGGUAUGCGUCAUGCCAUCAAAACAACAAUAAAAAUACUAAGUAGGUAUAGAAAUAUAUGUUUGAGUGAGUAUAUAAUAUACUAUAGUCAU
rnacentral:lncRNA from 1 species